AAUUGUAAUCUAGAGAAGUGUUUUUCCGCGACGGACCGUGCAUAAGUCUCCUGGAAUGGAGUGUCAUAGAGGGUGAGAAUCCCGUAUAUGGCACGGACUCCCGUUGCUCUGCGAUACACUCUCAACGAGUCGAGUUGUUUGGGAAUGCAGCUCUAAAUGGGUGGUAAAUGCCAUCUAAAGCUAAAUAUUGGCGAGAGACCGAUAGCGAACAAGUACCGUGAGGGAAAGAUGAAAAGCACUUUGGAAAGAGAGUGAAACAGUACGUGAAAUUGUUGAAAGGGAAACGCUUGAAGUCAGUCGCGCCGUUCGGGAUUCAGCCUUGCUUUUGCUCGGUUUACUUCGCGUUCGGUGGGUCAACAUCAGUUUUGGUCGGAGGAGAAAGGCUUGGGGAAGGUAGCAGCAUUCGUGCUGUGUUAUAGCCCCUUGUUGUAUACUUCGACUGGGACUGAGGACUGCAGCACGCCUUUGGCCGGGGUUCGCCCACGUACGUGCUUAGGAUGUUGGCAUAAUGGCUUUAAGCGACCCGUCUUGAAACACGGACCAAGGAGUCUAACAUGUGCGCGAGUGUUUGGGUGUUAAACUCAGACGCGAAAUGAAAGUGAAAAGUUGGGAACACUUGUGUGUGCACCGACGCCCGGAGCUGACCUUCUGUGACGCAUCUGCGGUAGAGCGUAUAUGUUGGGACCCGAAAGAUGGUGAACUAUGCCUGAAUAGGGUGAAGCCAGAGGAAACUCUGGUGGAGGCUCGUAGCGAUUCUGACGUGCAAAUCGAUCGU
rnacentral:rRNA from 1 species